CUUGACUUAUAGCAGUCGCUGUUAUAUCGUGGUCAAAGAACUGUCCAAAUACAGCUAACAUUACAGUGAACGAUGGAUUCGAACUCGGUGAAGGUGGGUGAACCAGAAGACUGACUUCUCUUGCCGAUGGUAAAGUGCUCCCCAUUUUCCCAUCUCUCGGUUCCACCUGGUGCCCAACCACCAUCAAAGUAUGAUCCAAUGGAGGAUUUUUCUCCACGUAGUAGCCUACCACUUUCGAUAGUGCGCGUUGCAGCUAUUUCAGCAAGUCCUGCGAGGGCGAGACGACCGGCAAAAACACUUGUACUAACAGCAAACUGGUGUCUGGAAUUCGGCGAAGGAUUUAUAAGAGGGGUAGCUUCCGCAUCAGCUUCCUCGCGCCUUUUUAUUGCUUUAUGACCUGCUGUCAGACCGCUUUGCCAUUCGAGUUUUCGAGACUACAAACCUUGUGAUAACAAUUAUUUGAGCUUUCGAUUUCUCCAGUUGUCGAAAUAAUUUCUUCUGUAAGUUUCCGCAUAGAUUUAUGUAAUAAUAAACAAUUCUCAUACCACUCUUCAAGCAUAGAAUUAACUGGUGGUAGCCACUUGGCCACAUUAGUUCUAUAGUUGUUGUCCAUGACUCCGGAGAAUUCAAUUCACAGUUUGUUUAAAUCUAACAACUCAAGAUAAGCUUUCCGAAUCUUAUUAUUCACUUGGACUGAAUUUGUCACUUUUGUCAUUUCAGGCUUACCUGUUGAAUCGCUGGAAACAGAUUAUGAUAAACCUUUCUCAAUAGCGAUCAAACAGUCUGUUGCUGUUGGCAACCUAUGCAGGUAUGAUACAGCGAGAAAACAUUGACUAUCUUAAGGGAAGAAAAAUGUUGAUGACAUGUUAAAACUAUGAAGGUAAUUAUAUUUUAUUUAAUAACAAUAUUAUAUGAUUCAAUUUAUAUCUGUGUUAAUUGUGUAAAUAUAUAUAAUAUGUAAUGGAUAUAGAUUAUAGUACUAAUAAUCCAAUUAUAAUACAUUCAUAUAUUAAGAGAUUAGCUUUAUUCUCUGAAUCCAAUCUUUGUCUAUUGCCUAUAGCACAAGAACAAUUCAAGAUUAAAGGCGUUUGAAUAAGAAUAUUUUUAUCGAAGCGACUUGGUAUUGAAAUUAUCCAACUGAUAGUUGUUAUUAUUUUUUUUUUUCGUAGCAAAUGCUUCACUCAUUAGUUUACCUUUAGUUUGCAUAAGGACAAUCAAUCACAACAAUUAAUAAUUUUUACAAAGAUGGAUAUUGUAUGAUAAGAAUCCUACUGCCGAAGAGAAG